CCUGUAUCUCUAGCUGAAAUGGACGAGGCAGCCACACACGCAAGCUGGUACAAGCAUGUCUUACCAAUGACUCAAGCGCCAUGCACAGCACUGCAUUAGAGGACUGUUUGCUGAACGUGUUGUUAAAAAUAAAGAUCAAGAGAGUGACAUGUACAAGCAAUGUUUGGGCUGAGUCAAGGAUGGUACAGGAGGGGCUGGAAAAUGGAGCAUGUGAAGAACAUUCCAAGCCAAGAAGGAGUAUGAGGGUCCGAUGAGGGGAAUAAGCAAGAUGCAGAUCAACUUCAUUUAUUCAUUCAUCCACUCACUCAACCCAUAUUCUCUUCCCUUGGAAGUGGUAGUGAGGGUAGGAGAAGGUGCAAAUGAUAAAAACUCAAUAGAUAAUGCCAUGCCAAACCCUUUUGUCCACAUUAUGGCUUCUCCAAGACUGCCUGGGGAGUCGAUGUGAAACCUGGGUUGCAUUCUUCCUGCGCCCAGCACAGCUGUGCUUCACCAACCACUCCUGGAGAGAAGGACCCAAAAGCAGAAACAUAACGGGUCCAGUAACCCCUGAACUGGACAGACAGACAGCAAUAAUGGAGGGCUGACAGGGAUGGUUGUCAAGGAGGCAUUUUUGGACCCAGGGUCAGAGUCAAGAUGGAUGAGACAAAACUAUGGUGGAGACUGAAACCAGACUCCUGCUCUGCACUGCUCAGUGGGUUCUGCACUGCUCAGUGGGUCUCUGCUCUGCAC
ensembl:lncRNA